rnacentral:pre_miRNA from 1 species
CCCUGCCAGCCCAGUGUUCAGACUACCUGUUCAGGGGGCUCGGAAUGUGUACAGUAGUCUGCACAUUGGUUAGGCUGGGC